CGUCCACCAGGGACCUGAAAUGGUUAUUCAAUAACCACUGAGACAACGUCUCAGCAAGUUCAACCCCCUAAACCCCUAUUAGAAAGAAAAUACGCCCCGGGUGGCAUAGCCACAUCACACAGAAGACUUACCUCGCCUCAGCCUUUAUCUGCAGGUUAGCACAAUUUAUAUAAACUAACCACGUGCAAUUAUGAUAGCCAAACAACUGCAGCACAAUCACAUCAUCAGAACAAUUCAACCACUUGGAUCGUCUCAGCGAUCAAUCGACUUGGCCGAUUACAUGUCAAUUCUAGUGAAUCAAUUACUACUUCCAAUCUCGACCCUAUAGGAAGGCUUAAUAACCAGUGGCAAUCACGGCCCCACUCGGCACGACCUUUAAUUAGGUGGUCCAUCACGGCCUGGAUCGUCUCAGCGAUCAAUCGACUUGGCCGAUUACAUGUCAAUUCUAGUGAAUCAAUUACUACUUCCAAUCUCGACCCUAUAGGCACGACCUCUAAUAGGUGGUUAAUCACGACCAAUCUCCCAUCAAUUUCUACACUUAGGAUAUCGUAAAGAAUCGGGCACGACCUUUCAUAGGUGGUCCAUCCCGGCCUCACUGGGCACGACCUCCAAUCGGUGGUUAAUCACGGCCUCACUAGGCACGACCUCUAAUAGGUGGUUAAUCACGACCAAUCUCCCAUCAAUUUCUACACUUAGGAUAUCGUAAAGAAUCCCUAUAAAUCACAAUCACACUCAAUUCAUCACAACCAAUCAUCAAUUUCAAAUUCUAAAUGAACAGCAACGAUCGGCACGAAAUUCUGAGCAAAUAAGGUCCCAAUGAAGAUUUUCGGAAUUUAAUAAAUAAUUAAAUUUAUUCCGAAAAUAAUUAAAUAAUAAUAUCCAUAGUUUUCGAAAUCCACACUCAAUUUAUAAUAUCCAAUCAUCAAUUUCAAAAUCCGACUACACAGUAACGACCGGCACGAAAUUCUGAGAAUUUAAGGUCUCGGCAAAAUUUUCGGAAUUUAAUAAAUAAUUUAAUUUAUUCCGAAAAUAAUUAAAUAAUAAUAUUUUAAAAUUUUCGAAUAUUAAAAUAUUAUUCAAUUAUUCAAUAAUUUCGAGAUAUUUAAAUAAAUCAAAAGUAGAUUCCUUUAUGUCACAUCAAAGUUUAUAUUAAUAUAAACACCCAUUUAACUUUAAAUUAAACACAAUUUAAGCUAAUUAAACACAUUAAUGUAAUCCACACUUAAAUAAAUCAAACUAACCACCUAAUCACACUUAACAUAAACUAAGCACACCUAAAGCAUAAUUAACCUUCUAAGCGAAGUUUAGCGAGCUAAACUCACCGGAUUAGCGAGCCGAGCGAACCAAAACGACGAGGACGACGCGAGGAUCGACUUUCCUCAAAGCGGGCCGAGCAUCCGAGCUCGGGAAGGCGGCCAAAACGGGCCAAACACCCGCUGCCAUACCCAUUUUUCCAGAUUCUGCUAGCUGCUGGUUGGGGGCGAAGGAGGGCAGAUCCGGGGCCGGCUUAGGUCGAGAACGGGCGGAUGAGCUGCGGCGGUGCUGCACGGCCAACAGCGGGGCCUCACGGUGGCCGGAGGUGGCUGAACCGUGGCCUGGGUUGGCCUGCGAAGCUGCUGGAGACGAGGGCGAGCAAGGACGAUGGCGUGAGGGAAGGCGGAGGCGCGCGGCAGCAACGGCGCGCAAGGACGGCGAGCGGCGGUUGAGCGCGACUACUCCGGCGGUGCUGCUAGCCUCGCUGUCUUCGGCUUGCAGAUUUGCUGGGGACGUCGAGCACGAGCAGGAGAGACGGAGGCGGUGCGACGACGAGCGGGCACGGCGACGGGCGGCGGCAGCGAACGGCGGAGGCGAGCGGCCGAGCGAGCGGCGAAGGGGCGGCCGUCGAGCGGUCGGCUUGGCUGGUUCCGUUCGCACAUCCUUCCCCCCCUC
rnacentral:lncRNA from 1 species